rnacentral:rRNA from 1 species
UACGUAGGGGGCAAGCGUUGUCCGGAAUUAUUGGGCGUAAAGAGCGCGUAGGCGGUCUCGCAAGUCGGGUGUGAAAGCCCAGGGCUCAACCCUGGAAGUGCAUUCGAUACUGCGAGGCUAGAGUCCCGGAGAGGAUGGUGGAACUCUCGGUGUAGAGGUGAAAUUCGUAGAUAUCGAGAAGAACACCGGUGGCGAAGGCGGCCAUCUGGACGGUGACUGACGCUGAGACGCGAAAGCGUGGGGAGCAAACAGG